AAUUUUAAUUAAAUUUAGCAAACAAAACAAAAAUAAUUAAACUAAGUUGAUAUAUAUAUAUAUAUAUUAUCUCCGACACAACGAAAUCGAAAAUUUCGCUAAGCUCGUGAACAUCACUUGGUGAUCGUUUGGUUAAAUGUAAUUAUAAAUGCAAUAAUGUAGUUAGAAAUAUAUGCAGUUGCAACUACAUGCAUUCUGUUUGGCUAGAUGUAAUAGAAAGCCCUGCAAUUAUAAAUUUUUUUUUUUUGAGAGAGAGAAAGGUAGCAUGCUAUCCGCUUCGUUUAUUUCAUUUAGAAAUAAAUUUAGCUGGAAAUGUGAACCAACUAAGAUUCGAACUUGGGUCUCGGGUACCAACCAUCAAGCCCUUUGCCACUUGCGUUAGGGACAGUCGGUAAUUACAAAUAAUUUGUUUGGUUGCAUGUAGACUUGAGAAUUGAUUUUUAAGAUUUUAUCAUUUUAUGUACAUGAUGGUGAGUUACUCUCUCCAACUGCUGCAGUUGAAACUACAGUCAAUUUGGACGUAGUUCCAACUGCUGUAGUUGGACCUCCGCCUGCAGUUCCUACUGCAGCAGUUGGAGUUAAAUAUAUAUCAAACCAAACAUUGAAUUUGCAUAUACAUGUGAUUAUAACUGUAAUGCAGUUGAAACUAUAUGCAACCAAACGACCCUUAUCUAAGGGCUAACGGCCCUUGUUAAUUUUUCUAUUAAUUUUGAAAUUUA
rnacentral:lncRNA from 1 species